rnacentral:rRNA from 1 species
UACGUAGGAGGCAAGCGUUGUCCGGAUUUAUUGGGCGUAAAGAGCGUGUAGGCGGCUUUGCAAGUCCGUUGUGAAAACUCGAGGCUCAACCUCGAGACGCCGGUGGAAACUGCAAAGCUAGAGUCCGGAAGAGGAGAGUGGAAUUCCUGGUGUAGCGGUGAAAUGCGCAGAUAUCAGGAAGAACACCCGUGGCGAAGGCGGCUCUCUGGGACGGUACUGACGCUGAGACGCGAAAGCGUGGGGAGCGAACAGG